GGCAGACUGAUUUCGCCAUGGCCUCAUUUGCUGAACUAAAUGCUAAAUUUGCCAUCGAUUUCCUCUAUCUCCUGAGCCAAAAACACCCAGAUGAAAACAUAAUUUUUUCUCCAGUGAAUCUUUCCUCUGCCUUGGGUUUUUUAACUUAUGGAUCACAAUGUGACAAAAAAGUGGAGCCAGAAAAGGUGCUUUCUUGCAACAAAGAGACAGAAUCCAUUAAUUCAGAAACCAAAUGCCUUUCUGAAACAUCAGCAAGAGGUCAAAGUUUGGGGAGCAAGCAAAGCAGAUAUCUUCCAAAAUUGCCAAACGCUCAAACCACUUGGAACAAAACUAGCUGUAGAGAAUCCUCCCUGUUCAAAACAUCUGAAGAAGGUGAGAAACAAACUACAAAAGAGAAUUUGGUUUUGUUAGCAGCUGAAACUAUUUUGUUAGCAGAAAAUAUUCCUCAAGCAGAUGCUGAGGAAGAGAGUUCCUUGCACUAUGUUCCCUGGAGAAAACAUCUCACAGGAAUGGAAGAGAGUGAAAAUCUAACUCAAGAAAAUCCAUCUGCAGAAGGAAAGGUGACUGAAAAUGAAGCUACUGCUCACAAGUAUGUCUGCGAAAACUUGACAGAAACAAGUUCACCAACUGCACCCUCAAGAGUUGAAGAUGCCAUAGAAAAUCUAAGAACCAUGUUGUCUGAAUUCAGGCAUACAGUGAAAUGUGCAGAUAACAAUGCACAGACAUUCAAGGAAAGUUGGUUGCUCUUUAAAGAAUGUUGUGACAACAUGUGUACAAGCAUGUCAAACCUUCAAGGUGUUUUGGAAUCCCUCAUCACAGUUUUAAGAGAGUAG
rnacentral:lncRNA from 1 species